AUAUCAAUAAGCGGAGGAAAAGAAACCAACAGGGAUUACCCUAGUAACGGCGAGUGAAGCGGUAAUAGCUCAAAUUUGAAAUCUGACCUUCACGGGUUCGAGUUGUAAUUUGUAGAAAACGUUUCGGAUAAGACUUUGGUUUAAGUUUCUUGGAACAGAACGUCAUAGAGGGUGAGAAUCCCGUCUAGAACCGAUAGUCGCGUCCAUGUGAAACUACUUCGACGAGUCGAGUUGUUUGGGAAUGCAGCUCAAAAUGGGUGGUAAAUUUCAUCUAAAGCUAAAUAUUGGCCAGAGACCGAUAGCGCACAAGUAGAGUGAUCGAAAGAUGAAAAGCACUUUGAAAAGAGAGUUAAACAGUAUGUGAAAUUGUUGAAAGGGAAGCGCUUGCAACCAGACUUGCGUAUAACGGUUCCCCCAAUCUUUUGACUGGGUUAUUCUGUUAUAUCCAGGCCAGCAUCGGUUCGGGUGGUUGUUUAAAGACCUUGGGAAUGUAUCUACCUUCGGGUCGACUUAUAGCCCAGAGUGUAAUACGGCCUACCUGGACCGAGGAACGCGCUUUUUUGCUCGGAUGCUGGCGUAAUGGUUGUAAGCGG
rnacentral:rRNA from 1 species